CGGGGUGAGUAACGCGUGGAUAACCUGCCGUAUACUGGGGGAUAACACUUAGAAAUAGGUGCUAAUACCGCAUAAGCGCACAGUCUCGCAUGAGACGGUGUGAAAAACUCCGGUGGUAUACGAUGGAUCCGCGUCUGAUUAGCUUGUUGGCGGGGUAACAGCCCACCAAGGCGACGAUCAGUAGCCGGCCUGAGAGGGUGAACGGCCACAUUGGGACUGAGACACGGCCCAAACUCCUACGGAAGGCAGCAG
rnacentral:rRNA from 1 species